rnacentral:rRNA from 1 species
GUGAGGAAUAUUGCUCAAUGGGCGAAAGCCUGAAGCAGCGACGCCGCGUGAGGGAUGAAAUCCGUUAGGAUGUAAACCUCUUUUGCAGGGAAAGAAUGUCUCGAUUUAUCGGGAUUGACGGUACCCUGCGAAUAAGCACCGGCCAACUACGUGCCAGCAGCCGCGGUAAUACGUAGGGUGCAAGCGUUGUCCGGAAUUACUGGGUGUAAAGGGUCCGUAGGCGGGUAAACAAGUCGGUGGUGAAAUCCUGUGGCUCAACCACAGAACUGCCCUCGAUACUGUUUAUCUUGAGUGCGAGAGAGGAUGAUGGAAUUCAUGGUGUAGCGGUGAAAUGCGUAGAGAUCAUGAAGAACACCGGUUGCGAAGGCGAUCAUCUGGCUCGUUACUGACGCUCAGGGACGAAAGCGUGGGGAGCAAACAGGAUUAGAAACCCUGGUAGUCC